rnacentral:rRNA from 1 species
GAUUGAACGCUGGCGGCAUGCUUUACACAUGCAAGUCGAACGGUAACAGGCCGCAAGGUGCUGACGAGUGGCGAACGGGUGAGUAAUGCAUCGGAACGUGCCCAGUCGUGGGGGAUAACUACUCGAAAGAGUAGCUAAUACCGCAUACGAUCUAUGGAUGAAAGCGGGGGACCGUAAGGCCUCGCGCGAUUGGAGCGGCCGAUGUCAGAUUAGGUAGUUGGUGGGGUAAAGGCUCACCAAGCCAACGAUCUGUAGCUGGUCUGAGAGGACGACCAGCCACACUGGGACUGAGACACGGCCCAGACUCCUACGGGAGGCAGCAGUGGGGAAUUUUGGACAAUGGGCGCAAGCCUGAUCCAGCAAUGCCGCGUGCAGGAAGAAGGCCUUCGGGUUGUAAACUGCUUUUGUACGGAACGAAACGGCUCUGGUUAAUACCCGGGGCUAAUGACGGUACCGUAAGAAUAAGCACCGGCUAACUACGUG